rnacentral:lncRNA from 1 species
GAUUAAAAGUAUUUUAAUCUGGUAUUCUACUGCGGUGUUUAGAAAAUAAAAUUUUGAAACACACAUGCAUGCUCCAAAUCUCGAAUCCCAAAAGCAAGCCCCUCCAGCUUUCACUUUCACAUUCGUGCGCAAAUGCAUGCACCCCCUACUCCACAUGAUCGUGCCAGCUUCCAUGGGUCACGUGGAUUCCCAAAGGCCCACGGAUCAUCAGCUGCUUGCCUAAACGCCUAGUGUCCCUCCAUGCACAUGACAUGUUUCUUUAAUCCUGUAGUUUGAAUUACUGAUUGAUCCACUAUUUCUGAAAUAGUCAUAAGAAGCAUCAAAUUCUAAAUAAUAGAGAAUAAUUAUCAAGGAUUUUAAUGCUUUUAUGGUAUAUUAAUAUAUUGAUCAUUAUCUAUCUUCACUCCUGAGACCAAUCUGGGGUUGACUUGUGUCCUACCAAGGUUGGCUUGAAAAUAGACCAUUUUUUUACUAUACCUUGUCUUCACCCUGAGACUGAACUUGGGUCGACUCGCAUCCUGCUUGGGUCUGAUCUUGCACAGCUGGGGUCAACUCAUAGAAAGUCCCAAUUCUAUAGCUCUCUAUCUACACCCUAAGAUUGUUAUGGGGCCAACUUGUGGUUUGUUGAGGUCAACCUGUAGAAAGUGUCAAUCUUUUCUAGGCA